rnacentral:rRNA from 1 species
UCCCUACGGGGGGCAGCAGUGAGGAAUAUUGGUCAAUGGGAGAGAUCCUGAACCAGCCAAGCCGCGUGAGGGAAGACGGCCCUAUGGGUUGUAAACCUCUUUUGUCGGAGAACAAAACCCGGGACGAGUCCCGGACUGCGUGUAUCCGCAGAAAAAGCAUCGGCUAACUCCGUGCCAGCAGCCGCGGUAAUACGGAGGAUGCGAGCGUUAUCCGGAUUUAUUGGGUUUAAAGGGUGCGCAGGCGGACCAUCAAGUCAGCGGCAAAAUCGUGGG